CCUACGGGAGGCAGCAGUAGGGAAUCUUCCGCAAUGGACGAGAGUCUGACGGAGCAACGCCGCGUGAGUGAUGAAGGCUUUCGGGUCGUAAAACUCUGUUGUUAGGGAAGAACAAGUGCUAGUUGAAUAAGCUGGCACCUUGACGGUACCUAACCAGAAAGCCACGGCUAACUACGUGCCAGCAGCCGCGGUAAUACGUAGGUGGCAAGCGUUAUCCGGAAUUAUUGGGCGUAAAGCGCGCGCAGGUGGUUUCUUAAGUCUGAUGUGAAAGCCCACGGCUCAACCGUGGAGGGUCAUUGGAAACUGGGAGACUUGAGUGCAGAAGAGGAAAGUGGAAUUCCAUGUGUAGCGGUGAAAUGCGUAGAGAUAUGGAGGAACACCAGUGGCGAAGGCGACUUUCUGGUCUGUAACUGACACUGAGGCGCGAAAGCGUGGGGAGCAAACAGGAUUAGAUACCCUGGUAGUCCACGCCGUAAACGAUGAGUGCUAAGUGUUAGAGGGUUUCCGCCCUUUAGUGCUGAAGUUAACGCAUUAAGCACUCCGCCUGGGGAGUACGGCCGCAAGGCUGAAACUCAAAGGAAUUGACGGA
rnacentral:rRNA from 1 species